GAUGAACGCUGGCGGCGUGCCUAAUACAUGCAAGUCGAGCGAACGGACGAGAAGCUUGCUUCUCUGAUGUUAGCGGCGGACGGGUGAGUAGCACGUGGAUAACCUACCUAUAAGACUGGGAUAACUUCGGGAAACCGGAGCUAAUACCGGAUAAUAUUUUGAACCGCAUGGCUCAAAAGUGAAAGACGGUCUUGCUGUCACUUAUAGAUGGAUCCGCGCUGCAUUAGCUAGUUGGUAAGGUAACGGCUCACCAAGGCAACGAUGCAUAGCCGACCUGAGAGGGUGAUCGGCCACACUGGAACUGAGACACGGUCCAGACUCCUACGGGAGGCAGCAGUAGGGAAUCUUCCGCAAUGGGCGAAAGCCUGACGGAGCAACGCCGCGUGAGUGAUGAAGGUCUUCGGAUCGUAAAACUCUGUUAUUAGGGAAGAACAUAUGUGUAAGUAACUGUGCACAUCUUGACGGUACCUAAUCAGAAAGCCACGGCUAACUACGUGCCAGCAGCCGCGGUAAUACGUAGGUGGCAAGCGUUAUCCGGAAUUAUUGGGCGUAAAGCGCGCGUAGGCGGUUUUUUAAGUCUGAUGUGAAAGCCCACGGCUCAACCGUGGAGGGUCAUUGGAAACUGGAAAACUUGAGUGCAGAAGAGGAAAGUGGAAUUCCAUGUGUAGCGGUGAAAUGCGCAGAGAUAUGGAGGAACACCAGUGGCGAAGGCGACUUUCUGGUCUGUAACUGACGCUGAUGUGCGAAAGCGUGGGGAUCAAACAGGAUUAGAUACCCUGGUAGUCCACGCCGUAAACGAUGAGUGCUAAGUGUUAGGGGGUUUCCGCCCCUUAGUGCUGCAGCUAACGCAUUAAGCACUCCGCCUGGGGAGUACGACCGCAAGGUUGAAACUCAAAGGAAUUGACGGGGACCCGCACAAGCGGUGGAGCAUGUGGUUUAAUUCGAAGCAACGCGAAGAACCUUACCAAAUCUUGACAUCCUUUGACAACUCUAGAGAUAGAGCUUUCCCCUUCGGGGGACAAAGUGACAGGUGGUGCAUGGUUGUCGUCAGCUCGUGUCGUGAGAUGUUGGGUUAAGUCCCGCAACGAGCGCAACCCUUAAGCUUAGUUGCCAUCAUUAAGUUGGGCACUCUAAGUUGACUGCCGGUGACAAACCGGAGGAAGGUGGGGAUGACGUCAAAUCAUCAUGCCCCUUAUGAUUUGGGCUACACACGUGCUACAAUGGACAAUACAAAGGGCAGCGAAACCGUGAGGUCAAGCAAAUCCCAUAAAGUUGUUCUCAGUUCGGAUUGUAGUCUGCAACUCGACUACAUGAAGCUGGAAUCGCUAGUAAUCGUAGAUCAGCAUGCUACGGUGAAUACGUUCCCGGGUCU
rnacentral:rRNA from 1 species